AGCGUAGUGGCAUGAUCUCAACUCACUGUAACCUCCACCUCCCGGGUUCAAGAUAUUUUUCUGCCUCAGCCUCCCAAGUAGCAGGGAUUACAGAUGUUCAAAGAUGGGGACAAACAAAUAUUUUGUUAGAAACCUGAUGUGAGAACCUGCAUACCUGCUGGUGGUGUUUCAUGAUGGUCUGACGGCUGGCUAGGCUGACUUCUCCCUACUUCGUUCACGGCUAUGACCCUGAACUGGUAUCUCACAAAUGGAGCCAAAGGUGGAAGUGAGAAGCAGGCUGGGAUAUGGACACGACAGAAGAAACAAAAAUGCUCCUUAUUAAUACCGAAGAUCCUUUCCAUUUUGUGUUUUCUUGAAGAUUCUCUGAGCAAUAUUAAAAUCAAAAUAUCAGUGAAGCCCAAGAAACUAUUAACAGCUCCCAGGACUGUGCCCUGAAGUGAGAAGGAAUAAUACAAAGCUGUUUAUGACUCAAAAAGAGGAUCAAAAACCCUCCUCAUUCUGUCAUGCCUCAGUCAUUAUAAAGUUAUGAGUUUGUGAAAUCUUUAGCUCAAAAACUUGAUUACUGUUACCAUUACCUUGAGUUAGCUUUGGAAAUAAAAUAUAGUUACAGAAAUAUGGUGUAGUAUGGUUAAUAGGUAAUUUUUAAAUAUUGACAGCCAUCUGUCACUACAGACACCUGGCUGCCUCUUAAAAUAGGAUGAAGCUGUGCACAUAUCAUGGGCAUACCCUGUAGUUCUUGCAAUAAUCUUUUAGAUGAAACCCAUUCUAGGAAUUUUGAAAAACGGUUCAAAGAACUUUAUCUGGUACUCCAACUUAAAUGGUAUUAUUCCAUUUGGGCAAAUGAAGACAGACUGAACCCAUGUGACAAUUCAUGCAAAGUAACAGUGAAAUAAAAAUACUUCUAAUAUCCAAA
ensembl:lncRNA CHL1-AS1 CHL1 antisense RNA 1